GUGAAGCCCAGCUUGCUGGGUGGAUCAGUGGCGAACGGGUGAGUAACACGUGAGCAACCUGCCCUCCACUUCGGGAUAAGCCUUGGAAACGGGGUCUAAUACCGGAUAUGAGCUCGCAUCGCAUGGUGUGGGUUGGAAAGUUUUUCGGUGGGGGAUGGGCUCGCGGCCUAUCAGCUUGUUGGUGGGGUGAUGGCCUACCAAGGCGUCGACGGGUAGCCGGCCUGAGAGGGCGACCGGCCACACUGGGACUGAGACACGGCCCAGACUCCUACGGGAGGCAGCAGUGGGGAAUAUUGCACAAUGGGCGCAAGCCUGAUGCAGCGACGCCGCGUGAGGGAUGACGGCCUUCGGGUUGUAAACCUCUUUCAGCAGGGAAGAAGCGCAAGUGACGGUACCUGCAGAAGAAGCGCCGGCUAACUACGUGCCAGCAGCCGCGGUAAUACGUAGGGCGCAAGCGUUGUCCGGAAUUAUUGGGCGUAAAGAGCUCGUAGGCGGUCUGUCGCGUCUGGUGUGAAAUCCCGAGGCUCAACCUCGGGCUUGCAUCGGGUACGGGCAGACUAGAGUGCGGUAGGGGAGACUGGAAUUCCUGGUGUAGCGGUGGAAUGCGCAGAUAUCAGGAGGAACACCGAUGGCGAAGGCAGGUCUCUGGGCCGCAACUGACGCUGAGGAGCGAAAGCAUGGGGAGCGAACAGGAUUAGAUACCCUGGUAGUCCAUGCCGUAAACGUUGGGCACUAGGUGUGGGGCUCAUUCCACGAGUUCCGUGCCGCAGCUAACGCAUUAAGUGCCCCGCCUGGGGAGUACGGCCGCAAGGCUAAAACUCAAAGGAAUUGACGGGGGCCCGCACAAGCGGCGGAGCAUGCGGAUUAAUUCGAUGCAACGCGAAGAACCUUACCAAGGCUUGACAUGUACGAGAAAGCCCCCGAGACGGGGUUCUCUUUGGACACUCGUACACAGGUGGUGCAUGGUUGUCGUCAGCUCGUGUCGUGAGAUGUUGGGUUAAGUCCCGCAACGAGCGCAACCCUCGUCCUAUGUUGCCAGCGGGUUAUGCCGGGGACUCAUGGGAGACUGCCGGGGUCAACUCGGAGGAAGGUGGGAAUGACGUCAAAUCAUCAUGCCCCUUAUGUCUUGGGCUUCACGCAUGCUACAAUGGCCGGUACAGAGGGCUGCGAUACCGUAAGGUGGAGCGAAUCCCAAAAAGCCGGUCUCAGUUCGGAUUGGGGUCUGCAACUCGACCCCAUGAAGUCGGAGUC
rnacentral:rRNA from 1 species